rnacentral:rRNA from 1 species
ACGGGAGGCAGCAGUGAGGAAUAUUGGUCAAUGGGCGAGAGUCUGAACCAGCCAAGUAGCGUGCAGGAUGACGGCCCUAUGGGUUGUAAACUGCUUUUGUACGGGAAUAAAGUGACCUACGUGUAGGUUUUUGCAUGUACCGUAAGAAUAAGGACCGGCUAAUUCCGUGCCAGCAGCCGCGGUAAUACGGCAGGUCCGGGCGUUAUCCGGAUUUAUUGGGUUUAAAGGGAGCGUAGGCCGUGCUUUAAGCGUGUUGUGAAAUGUAGGCGCCCAACGGCUGCACUGCAGCGCGAACUGGAGCACUUGAGUACGCAGGAAGUAGGCGGAAUUCGUCGUGUAGCGGUGAAAUGCUUAGAUAUGACGAAGAACACCGAUUGCGUAGGCAGCUUACCAGACCGUAAAUGACGCUCAUGCACGAAAGUGCGGGGAUCGAACAGGAUUAGAUACCCUGGUA